UACGUAGGGUGCAAGCGUUGUCCGGAAUUAUUGGGCGUAAAGAGCUCGUAGGCGGUUUGUUGCGUCGGCUGUGAAAUCCCGAGGCUCAACCUCGGGUCUGCAGUCGAUACGAGCAAACUAGAGUGUUGCAGGGGAGACUGGAAUUCCUGGUGUAGCGGUGAAAUGCGCAGAUAUCAGGAGGAACACCGGUGGCGAAGGCGGGUCUCUGGGCCGAUACUGACGCUGGAGGC
rnacentral:rRNA from 1 species